rnacentral:rRNA from 1 species
UACGAGGGGGGCGAGCGUUGUUCGGAAUUAUUGGGCGUAAAGGGUGCGUAGGCGGUUCCGCAAGUCCUGUGUGAAAUCUUCGGGCUUAACUGGGGGCGUGCGGGCGAUACGGGCAGACUGGAGUACUGCAGGGGAGACUGGAAUUCCUGGUGUAGCGGUGGAAUGCGCAGAUAUCAGGAGGAACACCGGUGGCGAAGGCGGGUCUCUGGGCAGUAACUGACGCUGAGGAGCGAAAGCGUGGGGAGCGAACAGG